CAUGGUUGUCGUCAGCUCGUGUCGUGAGAUGUUGGUUAAGUCCCGCAACGAGCGCAACCCUCGACCUUAGUUGCCAGCAUUCAGUUGGGCACUCUAAGGUGACUGCCGGCUAAAAGUCGGAGGAAGGUGGGGAUGACGUCAAAUCAUCAUGCCCCUUAUGACCUGGGCUACACACGUGCUACAAUGGGCGGUACAAAGGGUCGCGAACCCGCGAGGGGGAGCCAAUCCCAAAAAGCCGCUCUCAGUUCGGAUUGCAGGCUGCAACUCGCCUGCAUGAAGCCGGAAUCGCUAGUAAUCGCGGAUCAGCAUGCCGCGGUGAAUACGUUCCCGGGCCUU
rnacentral:rRNA from 1 species